AACGAACGCUGGCGGCAUGCCUAACACAUGCAAGUCGAACGAGACCUUCGUGUCUAGUGGCUCACGGGUUCGUAACGCGUGGGAACCUGCCCUUAGGUUCGGCAUAACUCCCCGAAAGGGGUGCUAAUACCGGAUAAUGUCUUCGGACCAAAGAUUUAUCGCCUUUGGAUGGGGCCGCGUUGGAUUAGCUAGUUGGCAGGGUAAAAGCCUACCAAGGCGACGAUCCAUAGCUGGUCUGAGAGGAGGAUCAGCCACACUGGGACUGAGACACGGCCCAGACUCCUGGGGGAGGGAGGAGUGGGGGAUAAUGGGGCAUGGGCGGAAGGCUGAUACAGCAAGGGCGGGUGGAUGGUGAAGGGCUUAGGGUUGGAAAGCGCUUUUAACCGGGAUGAUUAUGACAGUACCGGGAGAAUAAGCUCCGGCUAACUACGUG
rnacentral:rRNA from 1 species